ensembl:rRNA 5S_rRNA 5S ribosomal RNA
GAGUAUGGCCAUACCACCCUGAGCACGCCCGAUCUCGUCUGAUCUCGGAUGCUAAGCAUGGUCGGGCCUGGUUAGUAGUUGAAUGGGAGACUACCUAGGAAUACCAGUUGCUGUCAGUU